UACGUAGGGGGCUAGCGUUGUCCGGAAUCAUUGGGCGUAAAGCGCGUGUAGGCGGUCCGGUAAGUCCGCUGUGAAAGUCGGGGGCUCAACCCUUGAAAGCCGGCCGAUACUGUCGGACUAGAGUCCGGAAGAGGCAAGUGGAAUUCCCGGUGUAGCGGUGAAAUGCGCAGAUAUCAGGAGGAACACCGAUUGCGAAGGCAGCUCGCUGGGACGUAACUGACGCUGAGACGCGAAAGCGUGGGGAGCAAACAGG
rnacentral:rRNA from 1 species